CAGCCCUAAACGAUGCGCGUUAGGUGUAUCGGUGACCACGAGUCACCGAGGUGCCGAAGGGAAACCGUGAAACGUGCCGCCUGGGAAGUACGGUCGCAAGGCUGAAACUUAAAGGAAUUGGCGGGGAGGCACCACAACGGGUGGAGCCUGCGGUUUAAUUUGGACUCAACGCCGGGAAGCUCACCGGAUAAGACAGCGGAAUGAUUGCCGGGCUGAAGACCCUGCAUGACCAGCUGAGAGGAGGUGCAUGGCGUAGUCGUGU
rnacentral:rRNA from 1 species